rnacentral:rRNA from 1 species
UAAUGGGUCAGCGACUUAUAUUCUGUAGCAAGGUUAACCGAAUAGGGGAGCCGAAGGGAAACCGAGUCUUAACUGGGCGUUAAGUUGCAGGGUAUAGACCCGAAACCCGGUGAUCUAGCCAUGGGCAGGUUGAAGGUUGGGUAACACUAACUGGAGGACCGAACCGACUAAUGUUGAAAAAUUAGCGGAUGACUUGUGGCUGGGGGUGAAAGGCCAAUCAAACCGGGAGAUAGCUGGUUCUCCCCGAAAGCUAUUUAGGUAGCGCCUCGUGAAUUCAUCUCCGGGGGUAGAGCACUGUUUCGGCAAGGGGGUCAUCCCGACUUACCAACCCGAUGCAAACUGCGAAUACCGGAGAAUGUUAUCACGGGAGACACACGGCGGGUGCUAACGUCCGUCGUGAAGAGGGAAACAACCCAGACCGCCAGCUAAGGUCCCAAAGUCAUGGUUAAGUGGGAAACGAUGUGGGAAGGCCCAGACAGCCAGGAUGUUGGCUUAGAAGCAGCCAUCAUUUAAAGAAAGCGUAAUAGCUCACUGGUCGAGUCGGCCUGCGCGGAAGAUGUAACGGGGCUAAACCAUGCACCGAAGCUGCGGCAGCGACACUAUGUGUUGUUGGGUAGGGGAGCGUUCUGUAAGCCUGUGAAGGUGGCCUGUGAGGGUUGCUGGAGGUAUCAGAAGUGCGAAUGCUGACAUAAGUAACGAUAAAGCGGGUGAAAAGCCCGCUCGCCGGAAGACCAAGGGUUCCUGUCCAACGUUAAUCGGGGCAGGGUGAGUCGACCCCUAAGGCGAGGCCGAAAGGCGUAGUCGAUGGGAAACAGGUUAAUAUUCCUGUACUUGGUGUUACUGCGAAGGGGGGACGGAGAAGGCUAUGUUGGCCGGGCGACGGUUGUCCCGGUUUAAGCGUGUAGGCUGGUUUUCCAGGCAAAUCCGGAAAACCAAGGCUGAGGCGUGAUGACGAGGCACUACGGUGCUGAAGCGACAAAUGCCCUGCUUCCAGGAAAAGCCUCUAAGCAUCAGGUAACAUCAAAUCGUACCCCAAACCGACACAGGUGGUCAGGUAGAGAAUACCAAGGCGCUUGAGAGAACUCGGGUGAAGGAACUAGGCAAAAUGGUGCCGUAACUUCGGGAGAAGGCACGCUGAUAUGUAGGUGAAGCGACUUGCUC